GAUGAAGAACGUAGUGAAAUGCGAUAAGUAAUGUGAAUUGCAGAUUUCAGUGAAUCAUCGAAUCUUUGAACGCACCUUGCGCUCCUUGGUAUUCCGAGGAGCAUGCCUGUUUGAGUGUCAUUAAAUUCUCAACUCUCCAACUGUUGUCAUGACUGGUGGUAGAGCUUGGACGUGAGGGUUCUGCCGGCUCCUUGUUGAGUCUGGCUCCCUUGAAAAUGAUUAGCGCAGCUUUGCACUGUCCGCUUCAGGUGUGAUAAUUUAUCUACGCCCGACUAGCGACGCGCAUGAAUGGCUUUGUGCUUCUAACCGUCUCGAAAGAGACAAUACCUUUUGAACUUGACCUCAAAUCAGGUAGGACUACCCGCUGAACUUAAGCAUAUCAAUAAGCGGAGGA
rnacentral:misc_RNA from 1 species